rnacentral:rRNA from 1 species
CCUUCUGUUCGGAAUACCCUGGGAAACUAGGCUAAUACCGGGAUACGCCCUUUUGGGGAAAGGUUUACUGCCGGAAGAUCGGCCCGCGUCUGAUUAGCUAGUUGGUGGGGUAACGGCCUACCAAGGCGACGAUCAGUAGCUGGUCUGAGAGGAUGAUCAGCCACACUGGGACUGAGACACGGCCCAGACUCUACGGGAGGCAGCAGUGGGGAAUAUUGGACAAUGGGCGCAAGCCUGAUCCAGCCAUGCCGCGUGAGUGAUGAAGGCCUUAGGGUUGUAAAGCUCUUUUAUCCGGGACGAUAAUGACGGUACCGGAGGAAUAAGCCCCGGCUAACUUCGUGCCAGCAGCCGCGGUAAUACGAAGGGGGCUAGCGUUGCUCGGAAUCACUGGGCGUAAAGGGCGCGUAGGCGGCGUUUUAAGUCGGGGGUGAAAGCCUGUGGCUCAACCACAGAAUGGCCUUCGAUACUGGGACGCUUGAGUAUGGUAGAGGUUGGUGGAACUGCGAGUGUAGAGGUGAAAUUCGUAGAUAUUCGCAAGAACACCGGUGGCGAAGGCGGCCAACUGGACCAUUACUGACGCUGAGGCGCGAAAGCGUGGGGAGCAAACAGGAUUAGAUACCCUGGUAGUCCACGCCUAAACGAUGAAU